GGGUGCUUCUGCCCUUCCAUGUAGAGCAGCUGUUAGGAACUCGGGACACUUUCCCAGCCCAAUUCAAAGAAGGAAGGCCAGAAGGCCAGAAGGCCAGAGGCUUAACCCGGUAGUGUCUGAGUACCUGCUUGGCAAAGCCUUCUACGGCCAAAAUGGAAACCCUGAAUCCACUACCAGGAGCUCUAGGUAAGAAAAGCCAAAAGCCAGAAAUACCAUCUCUGGACAUGGCCUCAAAUUAAGAGCUCCUCCAGUCCAACUAAAAGUUAAACUAACUCCUGCUCUGGAAAACUUAGUACCCAAGGGUGAAUUGCCCAGUCUCCUUCCUGCUCUGCUGGCCAAAUCAAUGGCAGGUCCAAGUCACAUGCCUCUUUUCGUGAAGGAAAAAUCAUCAGCACCUCCUACAAAGGUCUUCCUAAUCACUUCAUUUGGCGGGUAAGGGUGUGGAUUUUAAAACUUUGAAGACUAUGUCACACUCACCUUGCCCCUCACCUCUGGCCUUGACAACCAUCUUGCUUUACAAGUGAAUUCCACCAGGUUUCUAAAGAUGGUCACAACACAGGUGCCAGGAAUGCCUUCCUGGGUACAUGCAGUUCCCGCCCAUGACCACAGAAGACGUUACACAAAACUGCCCAAAAGGUACGAAAUGGCAAUCUGACAACAAUCUGACUUAAAAGUCAGUAAAGACAUCAGAAAAGAUGUUGGCGUGCAGCAAAAAACCCUUCACAGCACCUCACAUGGGCAAAACCAAAGAGGUAAGACCCUGAUCUUCCUAAUGGCAGACAGUGAACUACGACUGCCGCAGAAAUCACAUAAAAGCAUAGAAGGUAAUUUCUAUUCAACAAAUAAUUACUGGCACUCACAGGGAAAAGCAUGGUGGGACACAAAUUAAUCAGGCAAGGCAUUGCCCUGGAGGCACUUUCGGUCUGAGCGGGGAGUAGUGGAGAUGAGGGCAGAAGAAAAAAAAAAAAAAGCCCAAACAGGCCACCACGGUAGCUCACGCCUGCAAUCCCCAACACUUUGGGAGGAUUGCUUGAGGCGAGGAGCUCAAGACCAGCCUGGGCAAUAUAGUGAGACCUUGUAUCUACAAAAAAAAAAUUUUUUUUUAAUUACCCAGGCAUAGUGGCGCACACCUGUAGUCCCAACUACUCGAGAGGCUGAGGUACGAGAAUUGCUUGAACCUAGGAGGCAGAGGUUGCAGUGAGCCGAGAUCGCACCACUGCACUCCAGCCUGGGCAACAGAGUGACACUUUGUCUCAAAAAACAAGCAAUGACCUUUUCUCCAGUGGGCUUGUUACUGCCACUCUCUGCUACUGACCAACUGAAAGUUUUGUCCAUGGGACAGGGAAGUGCCCUGUUAGGUGUGAAGGAGGAACAGAAAAUGGGGUGCCAGUGUCCUCAGACUAGAAUGUUCUAGUAUCUUGGGGUAGGAAUGAGAGGAUAUAAGCCUGAAUGCCAGCAUUAUGGGAGCCAAGGAGAGUUGGGAUGCCCCAUUCAAUAUACUGACUUUCAUUCAAGACCCAUCUUCAGCCAGGCAUGAUGGCUCACAUCUGUAAUCCCAACAGUUUGGGAAGCUGGAAGAUUACUUGAGCCCAGGAGUUCGACACUAGCCUGGGCAAUGUGGUGAGACCUCAUCUCUACAAAAAAAAAUUUAAAAGAAUUAGUCGGACAUAGUAGUACAUGCCUCUUGUCCCAGCUACUAAGCAGGCUGAGGUGGGAGGAUCACUUGAGCCCGGGAAAUCAAGGCUGCAGUGAGCUAUGAUGGCAUCACUGCACUCCAGCCUGGGGGACAGUGAGAUCUGUCUUUUAAAAAAAAAAAAAAAAAAAGUGGGGGGGGACCCAUUUUCACCACUACCUGGUACCCAAAUCCAGAUCCCCACAUUUAUAACUUCUCUAAAAAGUGAAGCCAGACCUUCUGCUGGCCUGGCCUGGCGGGAGGGCUCCACGGGCCUAGUUGUCUGCUGACUUCAGCCACCCAACUGAAGGCCCAAUCCAUGCCUUCAAAGGUGCCUGUCCCUGCAUGGAUCGGCUGGCUUCUUGUGGGCCACAAACCACGCACACCUUCUCAGCAAGCUACUGAACAAUGGGCUCCCCCAAGACAAGGAAAUCAACCAAGAAAGGAGGGGCACUGGAUCCAGAAACGAGACAAGAGAAGGGGAGAGGGAAUUCCAGGGCUGAAGGGGAAGCAGAGCCAAGGAAAAGGGAUGCGCCCAGGAGCAACAUGGAACUGUUGCGAGUACCUGAUGUGGAGCCACAGUGAGAGCCACUUUCCCCCAAUGACAGGCGUUCCACAGUGGAGGCUGCGAGGUGGUCAGGGAACUGGUGAGAGAGAAAGAAAAUUAAGCAAAAGAAACUAAGGAAAUUAACUAGGAGAGGAGAAGAAGAAAAUGAAGGAAAAUAAGAAAUAUGGGAAACUAAAAGCCUUGCAGCCAUAAACAAGGUUCAUAUUAUAAUAAUGUAUAUUCUGAAUAGCAACAUGACCAAAACUUGGGCUAUCUCUACACUGGGAUGAUGAGGGAAGAAAAAAGCAUAGGAAUGAGCUAAGUCCUAUCUCCCACAGCAGAAAAACAAAUCAGAUAAUAAUCCUUAAAAAGAAAGAAAAUAAUACUGCUGACAAUGGUGGGGACAGCUGGAAGAAUUGAAAGCAAUGGGGGUGGGGGGCAGUGGGCAAAGGACUGUCCUUUCAAGCCUUGUACACAGUCAAAAGCCAAAUCCUUUCUACAAGUAAUGUUUUGACAGAAAACACAUUAUUAAGCUACAUACAAGUAGCAAUGUGUGCUCUAUUACCACACAGCUUUAUGUUUCCUAUUAACCAUCCUAAAUUUGCAUUAAUGUCAACUCAUCUGUGUAUAAACUUGUAAGGCCUUAUUUUCCUAUAAUAAUUGAUGCCAAUUUUGCUUCAGAGACCCCCAACUGCCCAGCUGACAUAAUAGUAAUAUCAAAAAGAAAGCAUGCUUAUUGACAGGUUAGACCCCUCGGGAAGCAAGGCACUGAGGGCUAGCCAGCAUCAGAUGGCUGGACCUCUCAGGGCCAGUCAUUUAACAAAGAGUUUAACACGCACUGCGAGCCAAGUUCACCGGGCACAUAAGGGAAAGAGAUCCCUCAGGAAGCAAAGGUGGAAGGAAGGGUAGAGAGUCAAAUUAUACAUAAGAUACUGCAAAGAUUCAGUGACUUAAAUAUAAAGACCUGCAGCAUCUCUCAACUGAUUGAGAGAACUGAGCCCUAAGGCUGCCCUUGCAUGUGAUGAAUUACCUAUAUCCCUGUGUGUGUAGCAAGGCACCAGCUGGGAGAGUUGAGGAAUGGUCACCUAGUCCUUUUCUGUGUGCUGCGGUUGAAAUGAGAAAGGCUGGAUGGAGCACUUGAUAGGGGAAGCUGCAGACAGAAUGAGGCGGGAAUGCCUCUUGGAAGAGGUGGCAUCAGAACUGGAACACUUGAGAACUGUGCCAAGAUCUGGGGGGAGGCAGGAGGACAGCGGGGAGAAAGUUCCAGGCAGGAAGAACAUGUGCCAAAGUCCUAAGGCAGGAACAGGCUUGGCUGACUCAAGAGGUAGCAAAAGGGGAGGUGAAGAUGAGGUCAGAGCAUGGCUCUCAGAGAAAGGGCUCUCCAACAUCACUGUGUGGAAGGCCAGCUGGACUCGCAAGAACCCCAAGGGAUACAGUCCACCAAACUUUCUCCAGGGGGGAAAGUGAUGUGCCUGAAGAGCCAAGGGGCUUUAGUUCUUAAUUAAUAAGCAGAAGCUGCUUCCAGACUUGAUUCCUGAAACGGGACGCCUCUGUGGCUGGUGGCAUGACAGGUACACUGUGUAGGUAAACGGGCUUGCUUUUACCUUUACGUUCUCAGCGAAUACACUUGCCAGGAAGCCCUGCGGCCACACCACACAUUAGCCUUACAGAGCCACCGCUAAGGGUAAGGGGUAGUAAGCCCCCCUCACUCUCAGGCUCUGUCAAAGGAACCUGUUCCAGUAAGGCAGUCCAGCCCCAGGAGGCGGACACACACAGCCUGCGUAAGCCCUUGCCACUUCUUUGAAUCAGACUUUGCAAAAAACAACCUUGCUCUCCAGCCAACGUAAACCAUAGGCAACAGAGGGCCUUAUAAGGCUUGAAGCUUUCUUAAUCAGAAACAGAUAGAUGGGCUGGAGUUAGCAGCUCCAAGUUAGAGGGAAGGAGGAACUGAAAAGGAGAGAAGAAAGGGUGGCCUAGGGAACCAGCCAGCUUGCUGGUCAAACUGCUUUUUCAUCCCUCUUCAGCUUCUGUGGCAUCACAGUAAAGAAUUCUCACUGGG
rnacentral:antisense_RNA from 1 species